rnacentral:lncRNA from 1 species
ACAUUUAUCGUAACGCAACUUAGACAAUUCUAUUACCAUAGAAAGACAUUUGUCUAUUUCUUAUAAACACGGCAAGAAUCACAUCCAAGGUCCAGCAAAUUCAACAACAACCCCAUACAGCAUAUACCCAGCACAUACCCAACUCAUUGGCCGAUUUGCGGCACAAAACGAUAGAAUAUUAUCAUAAAACCACCACAAUAUCACUAGAUUCAAAUAUAAGAAUAAUAGAAAUAUAAUCGUUCAAUUACAUCAUUACCCCAAAUCAGGAAUACUAGCGAGACUACAUUAAUUCAUGCCACUGGCAGCAGCACAUUCUUUAAUAAAAUCCUUCAAACAUCAAAAAUCAGCUACAUGUCAAUCUAGAAUUUAAAAGGAAAUAUACAAUAAUUUUUUGGAGAGAAGAAAUCAUUUUCCACUUAUAUUGAAGAUAAUUCAAGAAAAUGAGAAGCCUCAAUUCGCAGCUCAUCAAAACAAACCCCAUUACUUGCAGUUGCUUGAUGCUAG